AGUAGGGGGAGUUGGAAAAAGAACAAUGAAAGAGGUAAAAAAUGGUGCAGCCAGUCAUACUGAAGAAUAUUUAAUUAUCUGAUUUUAUUAAUCAAGCUACUCCCCAUGCGACAGGGUAGACAAGCGAGUGUCUUUUACACUGAUGAAAUGCAUGGGAUAGAGAAUGAGGAAUGCUUUUCUUCCUUCUUUUUGCAUCUCCCUGCCCAGUGGCUCAAGAGAGCCCUUUGUGUGAAGGAGGAUCUUGUGCCUUUCUAGUCAAGCAAUGAGUCGGCAGUCGUUGCGUGGGCACAAGAGACCUGCUGGCCCUCUCGGCGAGAAGGGCAUACCCUGCCGUCCCAGAAGACGUCCUCAGCUGGAUGCUGCUCUGGCCAAGGGCAGCAUCACCAUCCUGUCUUGCUUCUGAGUGCUGCUGGUGACUGACCCAGGACACCUGCCCGGCUCAAUGCUCUGGGUUCUGCACAGGAAUGGCAGGAAAGCAUCAAGAUCUGUCCUCAGAGCCAUAUAAAGGGAAACCCAAGAGCAGAAUAAACUAUGAUGACAGAGGAGAAAGAGAAGUGGAUGACGAAGACUUGAUAGCAGGAGAAGAUAUUGGGAAGUAAUGAGAUGCAUUGGCAGAUCUGUCUGGGAGAUACUAUCCUUGCAACCUGUCCUGUCAACACAUCAUCUUCGUCAGUAGUAAAAUUCAGGUCAAGCUGUGUGAAGAGAGAGCAGAAGAGAUUACACUGUAGUGAUUCAUUAGUUCUGCUUACAAAACCUGGAGAAAAUGUCACUUCCAAAUUUAGACAAAGCAUCAAAAUUUCAACCUCUGCCAGGGACAGUUGUGUCAGGCUGGCCAGAUGGCAGAGUGGCAAAGCAAGCAAACAGUCCACUGAGGACCUGCAAAAUCUUGAGAGAGCACAAGACUUCUGCGUAAGGACUAGAGAAGGAAAAACACCACCCGCAGAUGCACCAAAGGAGACGUUCACCUAUUACUGAGAAGAAUACAACCCCUUCUUUGCCCAGCAGUGCUCUCCCCUCCUGAGCCAGCCCUCCAUUUUGGUUGUGUUGCAACUCUCCCCAGCCUCCCCCUGGGGAUCCUCAGAAGAUGAUGAAGUGCACAAUAUUCCUAGGCCUUCAGCAUUUUGUUUUGUUUAAUGGGCUCCACUGGGAGCUGCUAUUAAUCCACUCUAGAGAGAAGAGCUUUUUUGUUGUUGUUUUUGUUUGCCCCCUUCUGCCUCAGGCAGGUCAUGAAUUAUGUGCCUGUUGUUCUUCCUCACUUCAGGACUUCCCUGUGAUGUCCCACAGGGGCCCAUUAAGAGCUUCCUUGCUGCAUCCCUCCAGAGAAAGCCCAAGUGCUGAAGUGGCAGAGGCAGGGGAAGAGGGAGGCUCUUGAGGCUCAGAGAAUUACAAGAUCUUUGGAGGGGAGCAGCGAGUCUCUGUGAGGAUUUGGGUAAGAGCAGGUCGUCUCCAUAGCUCAGGGGCAUAUUUUGGUCUGCCGGGGCUUGAGUUGCAUGCCAAAAUUACUGAUGGAUAAGUUGCCCGAUUACAGAGCAAAAGUAUGGAUUACAGAAGCAAAAGAUGCUUCUCUGAGUUGCUCUCUGAAUCAUGCUAUUUCCAUUCAUUUAGUAGCACAAGAACUCAAACUUCGGGGAAAGGGAUACUCUUGACCUGCAGCUGACUGCAGGUCCUGUUAUGGGUCUGGCCCACAAAUAACACAUGCCUGAGCUGACUUUUAGCUCCAGCUGCCUAAAUAGCCUGUGCCUUUAGGGCAGGAGAACCCCAGUCUGGUUCCCCUGGAUAUGAUGGCUGCUCUCAUGCAUUUCAAAUAAAUUUCCUGAAAGAAGCCCUCCCAUAUUUUUAUAACUGCAGAAGUUUUGAAUGUAUUUCUGUAUUUUCUAUAUGCAACACUGCCAUAGGCUAUGAAAUUUUUUUGGACUACAUAGUAUUUGCUUUUGCAGUCCUACUGUAUAGGAAAGCAACCUUCUGUAAUUGCCAGCCCGGCUGUCUUCAAGUGCACUGUCUGCUUUUUAUGCACAAAAUCACACCCCAGAAAGUCCCUCUAAAGAACAUUAUUAACUGAGGCUGCAGAAUUAAGUACUGGAAAGCUAAGGCAAUGCCAGACUUAAGACUGCUUCUGCAUGUGCAUUAAGAGACAUGCAUUAGGACAUACUAAAGGCUUUCAAAGAUAGUUAGAC